AGAGUUUGAUCCUGGCUCAGGACGAACGCUGGCGGCGUGCUUAACACAUGCAAGUCGAACGGAGGUUACUUUGAAACUUAGUGAUAAGUAACUUAGUGGCGGACGGGUGAGUAACGCGUGGAUAACCUGCCUACAUGCCUGGGACAACACCGGGAAACUGGUGCUAAUACCGGAUACGCUUUUGAGAGCACAUGCUUUUAAGAGGAAAGGAGCAAUCCGCAUAUAGAUGGGUCCGCGUCCCAUUAGCUAGUUGGGGGUGUAACAGACCACCAAGGGCGACGAUGGGUAGCCGGCCUGAGAGGGUGGACGGCCACACUGGAACUGAGACCACGGUCCAGACUCCUACGGGAGGCAGCAGUGGGGAAUCUUCCGCAAUGGGCGCAAGCCUGACGGAGCAACGCCGCGUGAGUGAAGAAGGCCUUCGGGUUGUAAAGCUCUGUCUUCAGGGAAGAAAAAAAUGACGGUACCUGAGGAGGAAGCCCCGGCUAACUACGUGCCAGCAGCCGCGGUAAAACGUAGGGGGCGAGCGUUGUCCGGAAUUACUGGGCGUAAAGGGCGCGUAGGCGGUUAUUUAAGUCAGAGGUGAAAACUACCGGCUCAACCGGUAGCCUGCCUUUGAAACUGGAUGACUUGAGGGCAGGAGAGGGGAGUGGAAUUCCCAGUGUAGCGGUGAAAUGCGUAUAUAUUGGGAGGAACACCAGUGGCGAAGGCGGCUCUCUGGCCUGUUUCUGACGCUGAGGCGCGAAAGCGUGGGGAGCGAACGGGAUUAGAUACCCCGGUAGUCCACGCCGUAAACGAUGGGUGCUAGGUGUAGGAGGUAUCGACCCCUUCUGUGCCGUAGUUAACACAAUAAGCACCCCGCCUGGGGAGUACGGCCGCAAGGUUGAAACUCAAAGGAAUUGACGG
rnacentral:rRNA from 1 species